CAGCAUGCUUUCACUUUCCAAUUCGCCAUGAAACGCACAUUUACCGGUACAAAUGACAUUCCCGUUCUCUCUUCAGGGGCAUGAGAGAAGGGGGAGUGAGAAAAGGCCACAGAGGACAUGAGGGAAUCUUGCCACACAUUCACGGCAAACUAUGGACGAAAAGCAUCUGCAGUCAUGGAUCUUUCUGUGUGGGGGUUGACUAUGUUCUGGAGAGGAUUUUAGGCCAGCGGAUGAAGGUAGAGGGGUAAUUUCCAAAUGGCUUGGCUCAAAGCAUGUCUUUGUCUUCACUGGCUUUCAUAACCAGACUAAAAACUACAGCCCGCACAAACAUGAAACCUGUGCCAAAAAGAGAGUCCGUGGAGACGGUACAUCAUAGACGUUACUACUGAAUGUGAUUUAAGCUUAAAGCUUAGUCAUGUAGCCUCAAAACACAAACACAAAACAAAAUGUGCCAUGAAUCUGAGCUUUUCACUCUCCAUUUUUUCCACUGAAAUUUUCCCAUUCCUUCUAUCAUAUUGACUAGAUCAUUUAGCUCUUGCUCUUUUAAAAGUCCACACAGUUCAUUUUUUACAUUUGUAUUCUAUUAUACUGCACAUUAUACACCCAAAUAUCAAUAUCAAUUAUGUUAAAAGCCUCAUGUUUGUGUAGAUUUCCCAUUAGUAAUUUAUACUAACAUGACUGUUUGAGCUCCUCUAUUCAUGAGCAUGUCCAAGUGCAUCUAUUCCAUUAAAAAACACCUUAA
rnacentral:lncRNA from 1 species